AUGGCUCGGUACUUAAAAGUUUGCGCUGUGGUUAAGUAUGCGCCAAGUUGCCAGCUCGAGUGGCCAACAGCCGUUGUAUCGUAUCGUGAGGCCCAAAUCACUUCGGCCCAGUACCGUGUCGCAAAUUACAUCACUUCAGCCCUGUCGUCGCCCACCCUUGAAAAAAAGGAGGCCCUGUCGUCGCCUCACUCUCCCCUUCUCACUCCCCAUCUUCCCCUCUCCCCCGUCGGCAACUCGCGGCUUUUCGUCUCGUUUAGGCCCAAAUCACUUCGGCCCAGUACCGAGGCCCUGUCGUGCCGGCGACUCGCGAGCUCGUCCCAUCCAGAUCCGACCGACGCCGGCGCAGGAGCGCGAGGGUCCUCCGAAGGCCUCGCCGCCACUCUCCUCCUCCCCUUCGCUGCUGGCGGCGACGAGCGAGCCCUCGUCCGCUUCGCUUCGGCUUCGGGGAUGCGCGGCGGAGCGGGAGGAACUGCACUCCAAAUAUUUACUCCCCCUCCUGCGCCGCGAAUCCCCCGCGGGGUCGCCGCCAGCAGACGGGAUAGGCGGUCGGCCAGGCGGGCUCGCUGUCGCUUUGUCCCCCGGUCGGGCCAACCCCGCCUCGGUGCGGGCCGCGACCCCCUCUUCUGCGGUCGAGCACGGCCCACGAGGCCGUCCUGGCGCGGGGCGCACUGGCCUGGGCGGGUCGGGUCGGGCCCCUCCCAGCCGCUGGCGCCGAAUCCGCCGCAGCCAAGUGGCGGGUCUGCACCAGGUUCUGCGGUAGGAUCUCAACAGGAGUUCUCCCUCGGAUCCGGUGCGGCAGACUCCGGCUCUUUUGCGGCCAACUCCGACUCUGCUGUCUCUGCAUCAACAAACAUGCUGCAGGUUCAGGCUGAUCAACCGGCCCCGCCCUCUCCUAUGCAUACUCACACCAGCGGAUCGAGCGGCGACAUGGAUGUGAGAUGGCGAGUCUCCUUCGCCGCUGAUCUCACGGCGCGCACGCUCACGUUUCACGACGGCGUGCUCCUGUUGCGUCGAGACGCACUCACCUGGUCCUGUUGGAUUCUUGUGGUGUUGCGGUGGAUGCACGCUUCUUACGCGAGGCGGAGAGCGUUGACAUCGGCGAUGUCGUGGCAUUCCCGUGUCAUUUUGCACGUCUGCAAGAUCGGUUGCCGACGGCGAACAAUCCGGCGAGUUUCCCCACGGUGGUUUCAGGCGAGGCGGUUCGGGGGGAAAAAACCCAGCCAGCGGGGUCAACCCGGUUCGGGACGGGCCCGAGAUCCACCUACCGCCCGCCAAUGGCGGAUGAGCGACACGUGGGGAGGAAUCCAGCCCUUCACUCCCACCCUCAGCCCCGUGCCGGGGAGUCGUUUGGGUGGUGGAGAGGCAAGGUGGGGGGAGACGGCGGUCCUUCGCCGCUGUGGCUGCUUCCCCACCCAAGGUGAUGGAGGGAGGUCGUGGCUACCGUGGAGAGCGACGCGAGGGGCCCGGUGCGGGAAGAGCAGGUCGGGGGGCGCGUCGGAGUCGGACAACACAUCCAGGUGGGAUGAGGCGGCGGGGAGGCGCCGCGAGAUCCAGGACAGAGGAGUCUGGGUGCAUAAGACACCGGUCUCGUCGGGCUCGGGCGGUGCCGGCGCAGACCAACACGCUUCCCCGCCACAGCAGCGCCCCCACGGGAAAGAAAAUCAGGUGCACCCUACCAAGAACUCAGAUCUGUGUCCUAUAUGCAAGUCACCUGAACAUCCGCCUGCUCAUUGCCCCCAAGCCUUUUGCGAGCGUUGCAGCAAGUUAGGACACCUUACAUCUGUGAAAGAGAGAGCUAAUAGCAUUGUUGUGAUGAUUGUUGAGGGGGGAACUUCGACUCGCCAGAUGGAACUUGAUCUAAGCGAUUACCUAGCAACGGGCUGGAGAUGUUCUGCUCAUGCAAUAGGCCCAGGGGUGUUUGUGGUGAGAUUCCCCAAUCCUAAGGCUGUGGCCCAAAUCUGCUAUGUGGGAAGAGUCACUCUCAAAACUAGUGGUGUUGUGAUUCAUGCCACACAGUGGUCAUCUCCUGUUAGGGCAAAAGGGGUAAUGGAAGUAGCUUGGAUUAAGGUUAGCAAUGUUCCUUUAGACAAGAGGAGUGAAAGGAACCUUGCUUAUGUUACAUCUUUGGUGGGUGUUCCCUUGGAGAUAGACAACGCCACGCUGCAUCGUCCCGGUUCUGUUAGGGUCAGGAUGGGUUGCAGAAACGUGGAUGAAAUUCCUGGUGUUGCUGAGGCAGUCCUAGGGGGGCAUUUCUAUGAUUUUUAUUAUGAUGUGGAGCAGGUCCUGGUCAGAGAUCAUAACAGGGAAAAAGAUACUGUUAACAUUGCUCAGAAUCAUGGGAAAAAUGUGGAAAAAGAGGUGGCAAAACAGGGGACUCCUGGAGCUAAAGUGAACAAUCUCUCCCCUGGACUUGGACUGGCUCCUUCCAUGUCCAAGGAGCAGAACACUGGAGAAGAUAAAGUGAGGAACCUUGUUAAUGAAACUAAUCCUAAUACUCAUCAUACGGGGGGAAAUGGGCAGAAAACCUACUCUGAUGUUGUAAAAUCACGUACACAGGUGAAUGGUGUGAAGGAAAAAUAUAGGGUAGAACUACCUGAGGAAAAUGCGGAUGAAGAGGUGAUUCCUACCCCUCCCCUGGUCACUGAAGAAAACUUACGCUUCAGCUUGCGUAAUGUGCAGAGUAAUAUGGAGAGGAUGGAUGACAGAGCGGUGGCAGUAAUGAAGAAGAGAAACCUGGAAGCUAUUAAGAUGGGAGUGAAUAUUCCUGAUUCUGAUUUUGCGUGCAUUGAUGUGCUUAGAGAACUUGAAAAAUGUCGUAACAAAGAAUCUCAGGAUGAGAAGGAAAAUCUCAAUAAGGGGGGAGGGAAAACUUUGAUUGUAACUAAUGCAAAAGGUGAUCAAACUCCUCUGAGUUUGAGCUGGGGGGAUGAAAAUACUCUUGGAAUCAUGUACCCUCUGUUGAAAAAGUGCAUCUGGGCUCUCAUAGUGGUGUAUGGGGCUGCCCAGGAUGAUAGGAAAGAUGAUUUUCUCGCACAGCUAGUCUCUGUCUUCUCUCAACUCCCUCUCCCCUAUAUAGUGGGUCGAGACUUCAACAUCCUUCGCAACAGCGAAGAGAAGAACAAAAAAAUGACUCACUCCCACUACACAGAUAAAUUCAAUUCCAUUAUCCAGUCUCUGAAGCUGAGAGAGAUACAUAUGGGAGGGGGUAUAUACACUUGGUCUAAUAAGCAGAAGCACCCUACUUUGGAGAAGCUUGAUAGAAUUCGUAUGAGCUUUGAUUGGGAGGACUUGUUUCCCUUAGUGACCGUUCAAAAACUGGUAAGAGACCCCUCAGAUCAUAACCCUUUACUUUUGGACACGGGCAAUCCAAUGAGCGAUGGUUGCUCAAAGGAGACAGGAAUACAUCCUUCUAUCAUAGGAUUGCGAAUGGCAGGAAGAGAAAAAAACACCAUUCACUCGUUCACAGCGGGGGAGGUGACCAUUGAGGGCACGCAGAACUUGUUGGCUCAUGCCACUUCCUUUUAUAAAGACCUCUUUGGUCCCGCGAGAGGUAAUUUGUUUCACUUGUCCCCUGAUACGUCGUCUGAAGAAGAGAAACUUAAUGCGGAUGAUAAUAUAUUACUCAUGGGUGAGUUCACUGAGGAGGAGAUGGUCAUUGCAAAGUUGGACAAACAUCCUUCACUCCCCAUUACUGGCUCAAUGGGACGAGAUGAGAGCUACAGUUGCAUCCUGGCGCCUGUCAGAGGGGCUGAUGACUGGGCGAAUCGGGAGAUGAUGGAGCGGGGGACCAAGAUGCUGAAGGCCAGCACUUCAACCAUGAUGAGGAUUUGCGCAGCGCCAGGCGAGAAGAUGCUGGAUUGA
rnacentral:rRNA from 1 species